rnacentral:rRNA from 1 species
UACGGAGGGUGCAAGCGUUGUCCGGAAUCACUGGGCGUAAAGGGCGCGUAGGCGGCCUGAUAAGUCGGGGGUGAAAUCCUGCGGCUCAACCGCAGGGCUGCCUCCGAGACUGUCGGGCUAGAGCACGGUAGAGGCAGAUGGAAUUCCCGGUGUAGCGGUGGAAUGCGUAGAGAUCGGGAAGAACAUCAGUGGCGAAGGCGGUCUGCUGGGCCGUUGCUGACGCUGAGGCGCGACAGCGUGGGGAGCAAACAGG